AUUGGGAACUUUUUGCAAGAGCAUAGCAAGAGCGCAUGCGUAAUUUACAAAUACACACCGUACCAAGAACCACUUGUACCUACCACAUGGAA